GUACACGUGGGCUCCUUAUGCGUUUCUAGCUUGGGAUCUCAUUCCCUCAGGCCCGGUAGGCGUGCGCGGGGCUGGGUAUGGGGACGGGGGAGGGGGGCUUUUUCAAGGCACCAGAAACUCGUGGGAUGGGAGAAGCUUUGGAUAGUUACCCCUUUCUGCCUGUCGCUCUGGGUGUCCGGUGCCCCCAGCUCCCUCCGACUCUGCUCCUGGCAGCCCAGCCGAGCCGGAGUGGGAGCGUUGGCGGCGGCCCGGAACCUGCCGGGCCACUUUUGUGCUAGGGGCGGAUUGUGGCAGGCAGAGAGCCGAGCCAAGCAGGCCAGGCAGAAUGGGGGCUCGGGCCUGCGCGCGGCCUUGGAAACCUCGGCUCCUCCCCGUCCCCGCCUCGAGUCUCAGGAAACAAAGUCUCGGAAGCGCAGGCCGAUUGGGGAGGAACUCUGGCGUCUCGGAGGCCUGGCCCCGGGCCGCGCUCUGCGGUGGGGGCAUCUAGCGUGGCUGCCCGCCUGUGGGCAGUUUCAAGUCGGAAUAAGGGUGUGGAUCAGUGACGAAUGUUACCACAAAACCCGAAAAAGGCAAGAGAAACAUACCUCCUCCCAGAAUG
rnacentral:lncRNA from 1 species